ACAAAAGCUAAGAAGAGAAAGAGUACUUUGGCAAUUCUCUCACAGAGAGCUCCGUCCGCUGAAAAGGAGCAGGGAAAACCCAAGGGAAUAUGGUCUCUGAGCUGUGCACCGAAUCCCUUACAGGGCUGUAGGCUGCGCCGGAACCCGCAUCCGUUAACAUGCUAGGGUAUAACCGCUUAAUCUGCGGCGUACCUGAAGAGAUGAAUGCUGCGAGGCAUUGAUGAAGUUGGGUGGUAACACGUGAGCACAGGCUCCCGUCCCUUUU
rnacentral:ncRNA from 1 species